UGUACAUAUAGCAAGGUCGAAGUUAUGGAAACCACCACAAAAUUUGUCCCCUCAUCCCCAUCCUUAUCCCACCCCCACCAAACUCAUCCUAUCCACACCAAAUUGAUGGAGUUCAUAGUGGCGAAUGCAAUAAUUGAUGAGCUUUGCUAGCACCAUGUCAAGCUUGGACUGCCAACAACUGAAGGAUUUCUCCUCAGGUUUAGGUAUAAAAUAUAGGGUAGAAAUCUCCCAGAUGUUCUUGCAUAAAAUCUGGUUAUCUCUUAUCCGAUGUUUUUCAUGUGCAAAAUCCGAAUUUAAAGUUCUAAAUAUAUAAAGCCAGAAUUUUCUCCCUCGAGUUUGGUUCUCUCUUACUUGACGUAGAUUAUUCAAGUUGAUAAACC
rnacentral:lncRNA from 1 species